rnacentral:rRNA from 1 species
UACGUAGGGGGCAAGCGUUGUCCGGAAUCAUUGGGCGUAAAGAGCGUGUAGGCGGCCUGGUCAGUCUGGUGUGAAAUCUCGGGGGCUCAACCCCGAGCUGUCAUCAGAUACUGCCAGGCUAGAGUCCGGAAGAGGAGAGUGGAAUUCCUGGUGUAGCGGUGGAAUGCGCAGAUAUCAGGAGGAACACCAAUGGCGAAGGCAGCUCUCUGGUACGGUACUGACGCUGAGACGCGAAAGCGUGGGGAGCAAACAGG